CACAGCCAGCCACCCAGGAAGGAAGCGUUUUGUUCCUUUUAGACAGAGGGCCUGGCCGGCCACAUGGCCACGCUGUCAAAAAUCUCUAAAUUUUCCAACCAGCUCUGGGAGCCUUUGCAGGGGAGACUGGAAACAGGCAAGCUGGACCUCUGCCUGUACAGUGAUUUCUGAGAUGCUAAGAAGUCUCCAAAUCCUUCUCCUUUGAUAGACUGCCCAAUAUCUGAACUGCUACCAU